ACAGUGGGGAAAGGGAUGGGGGCUCCCUAACGUGGAUUACUUGGCGCAUAUCAGCUGGGCUCAGAAGACCCAGGACUCCUCUUCAUUAGUGGAUUGAUUCCUUCUACCUAACAAUCGGUCGCUAAGCUGGAGCCCCUGCUCUGAUGCCGACCCCAGGAAAGCCGUGAUGUAUACCGGGUGACUCUGCAGGUGGGGCGAGGCCCACGAUGCACUCCUGUGGGGUGUGUGGCUGUGGUCCCACUGGAGCCGGCUCAGCAGGCUGUGACUCGGAUGCAGACACAGCUUGCUCUCUGCAGGUGCUGCAGGCCUGCUGUCUGGAUGGUCCUGAGAACCGUGUGCCUCCAGCCCCCGAGUCUGGAUUUCUAUCCACAGGUCCCUGGUUGUCACUUGCCUUUGGCUUUGGGCACAUGGCACCUCACGUCAAGCCUCAGCUUCCUUUCUGUGCUUUGGAACCUGCUGAUGCCUGGUUCUUUUUAGCACAGGAGGUGUCUCCUUAUUUCCCUCAAGUCCUGCGGAUGGCAGCGGAGGAGGAAGGCAGGGUCUUUCUCAGUGGAUAGUCGCCCAGCUCUGUCAGCAGCACCCCUCAGUCCCCUGGAGAAGUACUCAGUCAAACAAAUGGUCCUGCCGGGCCAUCAUUCAUGACAGUGUUUUUUUUGGUCACGGACUGAACCCAGAGGCACUUAACCACUGAGCCACAUCCCCAGGCCUUCGUGAGACAGGGUCUCUUACUAAGUUACUUAGGACUUUGCUAAAUUGCUGAGGCUGGCUUUGAACUCGUGAUCUUCCUGCCCCUGGGAUUACAGGUGUGCGCCACUGCACCUGGCUUGGCUGUCUCUAUAUGGUGAGUAGUUGGAAGCCUGAGUGACCCUUUUCUCCUGUGGUUUGGAGAACGGUAUUUAUUUGUGGGCUUGGGGGCGCCUGCUUACCCUUUCCAGGGCUUACAUUGGGGCUCAAACUGCCUUCAGAGAGUUGAUCUCCAGAACCUUCCUCCUGGUCGGAAGGGAGUCCUGUUUUGUGUGCUGGGAGGAGCGCAUCUUGGAUUUGGGAUGCCAACCUGGCGCUGCAGACUGAUGCCCGCCAGGAGCCCCGACCCAGCUUUCCCUGUGCUUGCCCUGCAGCGGCUCCCAGGCACAGAGAUGCCUUGUCACAGCCCGGAUUGUUCUGGGCCACUCCCCCCACUUCCCACCCUGAACGCCCUCCCCUCCCCUUAGGAAAAAAAAAAAACCCUCCCUUCCCUCUUUCAGCAUCCGUGUCUUUAAGAAUCGCCUCCAUUGUCGCCCGGGACAGAGAGCGCUCUGUGAGUGUGCGGGAGGCCUGUCCUGGGGACACCCCCCCUCCCCAUUAAAAGACCAUCCGGAACAAGCUCCCCAUUCUCCUCUGGAGAGGGUCCCUCUGUCCCAGGCCAAGGGACUCUUAAGGGAACGUUUAUCCCGGGACACUCGGUUUACAAAGACUGUUGCAGUGUCAGAUAAACUCGCUCAGCCCCACGGUGGGGGGGGGGAGAAGGACAAAACCCCCUUUAUUUUCACCCCCGCAGUGAGACCAAUAAAGACUUUGUGCGAGAGACCAGGGGUCUGGGCAAGCAGAAGAAGGGGGUCUGUGUUGGCAUGGCUGCCGGACAGCGCCACAGCUUAUUAUCUUAUCAUUUGGGUUUUAUGGGGAAUCUGGGCGUGGGGCUGAGAGAGCAGCUCUUCCAUCGGGAGAUGAGCCCACUUUUCCACCUCCCUCCUCUGUUGCAAGUUGGUCUUGGCUAGCCAGGGAGAAUCCCCAGGGUGCCCCCCACCCAUUACUUAUUUGGAUAGAGAAAGAUUCACCGAUUCCGAGGACCAGGCUCUGGCUGUGUGUGUGUGUGUGGAAGAAUCAUGGUCUCAGGGACUCUGGGCCAUUUAGAAGCAUGUGGUAAAUGCAUGCAUGCACAUCCAGGGUGCAGAGCAACGUGGAGCCCCUGUGUGUAUGUGGCUCCACCUGAGAAUACUCUCGAUCAUGAGUGACAGAGGGUUUUACUCGGUCAUACAAACAGAACAUUCUGUGACUGGCCCUUUGUGAAAGAAGGGCAUCAGACUACUGCUUGUUGAUCAUCUAAGUGCCAAAGGUGUAUCAGCAUCUCCUUAAUCUGAGGACAUCUCUGCAAGGCUCGGAGAGGGAACUUGCCUUCCCAGCGAUGUUUGAGGUUCUGUCCCUGCUGGGUCUGAGUCCCAGGCCGCCUCACCUGGCACUGGCUGGGAGUCAGCCACUGAGGUUCAGGACCUGAGAUCGUUCCCAAGCCUGCCUGAGGGUCAUCCUGAAAUGCGGGAAGUGAUGGAGACAAACCAUUGGAUGGUAAAGGCUUCUGGGCUCUGCAGACGCACAGCCUGCAGGAGGUGGAACCUGAUCUCAGAAAGCACCUUGUGCCGCUGUGCAGGUGUCUGGGUGCAGGCAAAACACCAGCCAUGCAUUCCAAGGUUAUGUCUAGCUCUAAAAGUAAAGCAGUGGAUGCUUGGGACAUGGGUGUGUGUGAGGUGCAUGGCCUCGCUUGGCUCCUGGUUCUUCCCUCCUGGCUCCCUGCAGCUCAGGUCCCUCCUGGCUGUUUUGUGGGUCCCCUGACCUUCCACCCUGCCUGGGGGAGGGUGGGGUCUUGCAGGGGUGGCCAUGAGGACAUGUCUGCAGGCCCAUUUGGCCCACACAGCCUUAUAGAGGGCAGCAAGAGGCAGGCAGGGGCAGUUUGCAGUCCUGUCACAGAGCUCAGAGGUGGUGGACUUUGCUAUUUCCUCUGCUCUACAGGUGGUCAGGGAGUGGACAGAGCUGAUGGCCCUGGCACUUCUGUGGCUGCUGACUCCUCUUGCCUACUUUCUCACCUUCCAAACCUGGAGGCUCUGGGGACCAUCUUGCAGACUCGGGAACCUCUGAGGCCGAGCAGACCAGGCGCCAGCCUGUGUUUGCGGAGGAUGACAUGCGCAUCUCAUUUUGGUUCGCGGCCCCUGCACCCUGGUGCAUCCCACCCUCCAGUGGCCCAGGAGAGCGGGGCCUCUGCAGCUGCGGCCCCCUCCCCGGCACAUGUGGGAGCUGCGCGGAGCUGGCAGUGGGGGCGGGGGCCACUCCCUGCCCGUCCACCUCUUUCAUGGCUGAGGUCGGGGAGGAGACUGUUGAGGACAGACGUGUUUCGGAGCCUCCUUCCUUUUUAUGUCCUCACUACCAGUUACCACCUGCACACGAGCUGGCGGCGGAGGCUGGCUGUUCUGAGUCAGGUGACAACUUGGCCUUUCUCUGGAAGACGUAGUGGCACCUGAUGGCAAGGGCAGGGGCGGCUUCUGUAGAGAGCAGGCUGUGUUUCUCCCCCCUCAACAAGAGAUUCCUGUUCUUUCCUGGGGGAGGGGCCCUUAGCACAAGGGAGACUUCAGACAGGCAAGGCCGGGAGGGCUAGCGGGUUGGUGGCAGGAGGUGGGGGAGCAAUGUCAUUUAUUAGGUCUAUGAAAACAAUACGGGGUUUGUCUCCUGGGGGUGGCGGUGCCUGGGGAGGCAAGCCGAGAUGGGCCCAAGCGAAAGAAAACAAGCCCAGGUCUGACGAAAACGUGGUGACCCCGAAGAGCAGGGAGAAAAGCACCUUUGUUUAGGGCGGUCCGGGGGGAGGCUGGGUGGUCAGGAGGUCGCUGGGGGAAUGGCGGCCGCUGUGCAGGGAACCUGGGUGCCCAGAGGGGCUGCAGGAGACCAGACUCCCAGCUUGAUGGGAGUGUCUGGGGUGGCUGAUCCCUGGGCACUGCAGCCUGGACUGGGUUCGGGAGACCUCUUUCUUAUUAGCUCUGUUCUUGAGGGAGGCUGGAGAGAAACUGUCACACCCCAGGGCUAGUGCAGGAGGAUGGACAGAGGGUCCACCCUGACGUGGAAGGUCAGGCCUGCUGCUCACCAUUCUUGCAUGAUCUGGGGCAGAGAAGCCCCUGGAGCCCAGGGACAGGCCCUGCAGACCUGGGGGGAAAGGAUGUGCCCCCAGUACCAAGGGAUAGUGCCAGUGACUGUAGUGGCUUCCCUGUCCCAGGGUCACAUCAGCCUGCCUGACAGCCUUGGAGGGUCACUGUCCUUUGUCCUUGCUUUAAAGUGCCAGAGGCUGCUGGGCAUGAAGAUGAGGUGGCUCAGCUCAAGGUCACUCACCUGCCCGCGUGGCUCCAUCAAACCCCAUCCCCAAGUCGAAAGUGUGGUCCCCGCUGCCUGCCACCUGAGGGCAGGGGUCUGGCCAGAGGUUUUGGAUCAACUAAUGUGCAUUUUCUGCGUUUGAGGGAGAGCAGGACAAGGCAGCAGGUCACCUGGGGGAGGAGCAGGGCUCACCCUUUGUGCCCCUAAUACCCACCCGGGGAGCACCAUCUGCUGGUCUCUGCCCCUCUCCUGGGCGUGGCCCAGCCCACUUGAGGUCCCCAGCUGGCCCAGUAUGCACUCGGCACCGUUUCCCUCUGGCCCACUCUGGCCCACCUGGUCUUCCCUGGACUUUCCUGGAGGUCUGCUUUCCACCUGGGCUCCUGAGGACAACCACUUGGGCAAAGGCAGAGCCAGCAGGACCUGUUCCUCCCCUGGAGGAAAUGACCUGCUACCCCAGCAACUGACCCGGGUCGGUUCUGGCUGCUUAGCAAGGCCUCUUUGUUGUUGGUAUGGGUGGGGGGACCCUAAGCUGAGGAGGAAGCAAGGAGAGAGAUGUUGCCCGGAAUAGUUUUGGGGUUUGUUUAGGGACAAAGAAGAUCCAGAAGGCGCUCUCCUGCCAGGUUGGUCUCUUCCCGGCCCCUCUGCAGCAAGCCUCGGUUCCUGAGCUGUUGCUUUGGCUCAGGUGUUCUAGCGCCCUCAACGCUCUCCUCUACCUGCCCACGCGGGAGGCAUGUCACCUAAUGAUUCCUGAGCUCCCCCGCUGAGCCAGGCUCUGUGGCUUCUUCCCUGCUUACCCGAUACUGUGAGGGGUCCCUGCUUUCAUUCCAGCUUUCCUGGUAGGGCUGGAUGUUGAGGAUCUGCGGGCCUCACAGCCGGGAGAGCCUGGAUUUUAGACCAGUACUCCGACUGGGAAGGCCAGGCCAGUCCUUCUGGGAUGUCGCUGCCCCCUGGGGACCCCUGCCCCACACCACGGCUCCACCUUUGGGCUUCUCGGCACCAGUUUUCAGCCCGUGGUGGUGAGGGUUCUCGGCUACCUUGACUUGCUUUUUAAGUGUACUGAAAAGGUUGUAAGCUGGAAAUUAGGGCUCUUUAUGUUACUUUGUGCCCCAAAGCAUGAGGCACAGUGCCAGCACCUGCCAAGGUCUCUGUAUGCACCUGCUGAAUGGACAGGACAGGACUAAAGGCCACUUUGCCUGCCUGUAACAUGCCCUUGUCUGAUGCUUCACAUGAGCAGGUGGAAGAUGGUGGAGAUGCUGAUUUUAACUCUGGGUCAAUUUGAGGAGGGGGCUUUGGUGAAGCAGGCCAGGUUCCUGACAUUCUACUAUUUAAAUCAUAUUUGUUUUUUUUAAAAAGCAACUUUGAAUUUCAAAAACACCUGCAUUUGUUGCAUCUGUUCAGCAUCUUUCUGCAGGUGAGAAAGUCAAGGUCAAGGCUGGGCGUUGGGGAUAUACCCGCCACCAACAGCUGGGGGGCUGCUUCUGUCUGAUCAUGAGCUCCAUCCUUUAUCCAGUUCCCCACCUAUUUGCUGGAGUCCCCGGAGCCUGAGAGACAAGGGGUUUUCCUGAUAAAGUUGGUAAAGGCAACAGGCUCCAGAGGAUGCUUCAUUCUUUUCCCACUGAGCUGCCUGAUCACCAGCUUCCCCACCCCACCCCCACCCGGGCUUCUGAGCCAGCUUUACUGAGGUGUAAUUUACUGACUGUGCACCCACCCAUAGUUAAAGGCACAAGUCUGAGAAUUGCAGUCAGCUGGUAGUUUUGCAGCCAUAACCACAGAGUUCUGAGGCAUUUCCACGGACCCCCGGGGCCUUCCCUCUUGAUACUUUGCAGUGUCGCCUGCUACCAGCCCUGGAUCUGCUUCUGCCUCUGCAGAUGGGCCCUCUGGGGACACGGACUGUGAAUGGAACGACACACAGGUCCCUUCUUCCCUUAUUGGAUGACCGCGAUGAUACCAGGAUAAAAAGUAGCCAGGCUGGAUUCCUCACCAUCUAGGCCUUAGACGUCCACUCGGUUGUUCUGCUUUUCAAAGAAAUGAGACCCUUUUCGGGAGUCCUGGAAAGUCUCUCCAGCCAGUGGGUGAAAUCAGAGGUUCCCUGCUGACUUGAUUAGAGCUUCGUCCCAAGAAAGAAGGCCAAGGACAGAGGACCCCGAUGAUGACAUGUCGGGCCCACCUGGAUGACCCAGCACCCUCAGCUUCAUCACACACCCCUCUGGACCUGGGGUGCCAUUGGCAGGUGGCAGGGAUCGGGACGAGGGUGUGCUUGGGGAGCUGCUGUUCCUCCUCCUGCAGGGCCCUCCUGCUGCGCUUCUUUCUCUCCUCGUUCCCGUUUUUCUCCCGUGGGCAGCUCGGGUCCUAGGCUGUGCCAGUGUUCCACGUACACCUGGGAGUCUUGGUGGAGGCCAAGGUCAGGCUGAAGGGCAAGGCCAUGCCUCGGAGGGCUCAUCCGAUCAUCUCCCAGUGGCCGUGGCAACAGGCGUGAAAAUGGCCAAGUGCCAGGGAUUGGGUCGGGUGGGAGUGGGUGCUGCCCUACAGCUGUGUCACCUUGGCCAGGAUGACGCCCCUGUGGAGUGACGGAUGAUGGGGAGACAUGAACAGCAGUCAUCAUCUGAGAUCUCGAGGUGCCUUCUGACUCACGUGCCUUUCUCCAGGUGGAUGGAGGCGUGUCUUUAGCCAAACGGACGCUAUGCCAGGAAGAGUUUGAGGGGGGCCUGGGAGGCUCUGCUCCUGUCGGGACCUCAUUUUCCUUCUCUGGGUCCAUUCCCUCACUCCCGCCUCCGCCCCCUUCCCCUUGAGUGGGUCUGCCAUGCGGGGGUAUGAGUCUGGGGUGUUGCAUUUUUACUUUUUAUUUUAUUUUGCAAAUACCUCACAACAUUCUCCUCUGUGUUUAAGUCCUCCUGCCAAGAGCAUGUGGUUGCCAGGCAACAAGAAGGAAGUCCCGGCCGCUGCCAAUUAAUUUGCUAGCUGCAGGCAUCUCCCUGGGGAGAAGGCUUCGUGCCCGCCGUGGCUUUCUCGGAGACAGCUCAGAGGGCUGUUGCCCAGGAGGGGAAAGGAAACCAGAGGAAAGUUAGAGACCUCUGGGUUUGUUUGGGGUGUUUUCAGGUCCAGCUGGAAGGGAGUGUCCACAGGGCCUGGGCACCACCAGGGGUGAAGACACCCAGCUUCCUUCUUGGCCACCCUUCAGAGAGCCGCAGCGCGCCUCUGUGUCUGCACAUUGGCUGCCUUUUGGGGUUUUUUUAUUUGUAGGUGACUCUGAAAUGCAGACUCUGUCUCCUUUCCCAGUUCCCCUGCAGAGAAAUGUCUUGAAGCAUCUUCUCCCUGCUCAGAGCCCUGGGGCCUCCCUGUGACACCUCUCCUCCCUGGCAAUUAGCACCCUUCUCUCUGGGACUCAUGGAGCUGCUCCAUCCCUGCCUGGGUUCAGCCACCUGGGUGCAGGAAGGACAGCCCUUUGCACCAGGCGGAGCCGCCUGGCUCGCGGUCUGGGUUUCAAGAGCGCCUCCAGAAUCUCUAGGCUGUUCCCCUCCAGAUUUCACUGUCCUGGCUUCCUGCUUGCCAAAGGCGCCUCCCUGAUGUGCCUAGGAGGGCAGAAAGGUUUGCCUGCCUGACUCACUUCUGCAGCCACGGCAUCUAACCGGGAAGGUACCAAUGCAUGCCCAGGUUGGUAGGUAGUCAUCUAAGUGGUUCUUUGUGGUUGAUGGUGACUGCUGGAAUCGGAGACCCCGAGACCAGCCUCCUCCAGGAGACUCAGGUUGUCUGCAUGUGUGGAGAGGCCACUUACUCCAAUUGCUGAGUCUCAUCAACUUAGAAUUGCCAAGACCUCUGAGGGCAUUUAGUGGUGCUAAAUAUAUUUGCUACUCGGCAAUGGGGGAUUGGAAGGUGUGAGGAAGAGAUGGGGGAGUCCCCGUCCAUCUUAAUUUCUUUGCUGUCAGCGUUAGGGGAGAGAAAUGUAUUUAAUGGUCUCCUCUUUCCACGAGGCCACCGUCCACUCUGGGAGUGGUCCUGAUUAGUGACCAAGAGAGUUUUGACAGAAGAGAGAGGUUUCCACCAGAGUGGCUGUUAGUUAUAAGGACAGAGUCCAGUCCCUUACCCUGAGGAUCCUGGCACUCGCUGGGCCUCAGCUCUCCUCCCUGUGAAGCGGGUGCUCUAACACCUCCAUGCUCCUGGCCCCGUAUUACACAGGUAUCAUGGUGACCAGCUGCAAAAGUGAACUUCCUGCCUCUCCUGGCCAACGGAGUUCUACAAUAUUCUUUAAAGUCGGUGCUGGGCAUAGAGGCCUCGGGAGGAUGACCAAGUGCUGGCUUCCUGGCCCACACCACCCUCCGCAAAGCCUCCCAGAACCAGCGAAGGCCCCCAGCACUCCUUGAAGGACUUGGCUGAGGUCGGAUCACCUCUUGAGAGUCAAGAGCCUGGGAUUUGAUUAAGAAUUCUUAUAUUGGAGAAUAAAAAAACUUCUGGACUCGUGGAGACAUGUGGGUGGACACCAAAGACCCACCCUAAGGAGCAGCCACACGUGCACCUGAGCGAGCAGGGAGGGGCAUGGCUGGGCCACCUGCAGCCGGAGACGACUCCGUCUCUUGAACUUGGACCUUCCUCCUGUGGAAAACGUGGCCUCUGCUGCUUCCUGCCCCUGACACUCUUCCUGGCCCCAGCCCAGCUCCCAGGCUUGGCCCUACUCCCUUCCCUGCCUGCCCCCACCUCCCCCACCCAUCGUGCCUUUGGACCCAGCGAGUCUUCUUGCUUGCCGGCCAGAUGCAGAGUCAAUAGUUAACUACACUUGAGUCAGAUGGGAUCUUGGGUGUUGUUCCUGCUCCUUCUAAAGAGGCCGCCAUUUGUACUCUGUGAGCAGCUCAGGAAUGGUAUUUGGACCUAUCCCUUCGCACCAGGUUCCAGAGUGACCGAGAGUCAGUGGGCAGCUUCUUCAGGCGCUCGGUCAUCGGGGCCAUUGGAGAAGGCUCAGGCGGGCAAGUUGGAUGGUGAGGGCUGGUAGUCUCCACGUCCAGCUCUCCAGGUGGGCUUCCAGAAGGACAAAAAUGAUCGGUUCAUUCCAUCUUCUGACAGGUCCAGGCAGCUGUGAGGACCCUCUUCUCUCAGGUGGCAGCUGGGGUCCAGGCAGGAUCUUGGUGCUUCACAACCUACCAGCUGGCUACUGGGGUUGGUAGUGUUUAUCAAGGACCUUCCUCUCCCAGGGUCUUCUGGUGACACUCCCUGAUAGUGACUUGAGACUUCUCUGUCCCUUUUACUCUGCAGCCACCAUGAUCAUGGUUGAAAACACUAAGUAUCCAUCACAGUCAACCUCAUCCAACAUGCAGUCAAAGAUGUGUGUACUUUCUCGUUUCCAAAGUGAACAGACAGUUUGUUUUCAUGAAAAACAAUUGAAGUUUCCCUGUGUGGUGGGUGGUGCGUUAUGGCGGGUUAGGACUUGGGGUCAUUGUUGGCAUCUCCAAGUCACCACAAAAUGAUGGAGGAGAGCCACCGAAAGAUGUUCAGUGCUACUGAAAUUGCAAGAGGGUGUAUGGGAGUCCCCUUCCUUCCCUGGCACUUGGGGGCAGCCAGCAUACUGCUCAGAUUUGUUCAGGUUUCAGAAACAGAGGUCCUCUUGUAUCACCUCCGUGAACGAGGUGUAUUUUAAAGUCUCGGGGGAAAGCGAGGCAGAGGAGGGACAAUUCCAGCAGCUACCCAGCUAGGCCUUGUCAAGAAUCCCAAAGUCACUGAGCACACCCAGUAGCUAUGGCCUGUUUCCAGGGACAGCAAGAGUCGCAUCUGGUCGUCUUGAUCCUUUAUUCUGAUUCCCUGCUCCUGACUCGGGAAUUCUGCAGUGGCGAUGAACAGAGGGGACCUACUGUCCUGGUUGGCAUAAGCCUAAGGGGUUUCUCAUAACAAAGGACUUUCAGGGAUAAACCUGGGACAUUCCUGGGCAAAUUUUGGUGGCCCAGCUAGGUGACCCAGUGACCUUGCCUCUGCUACUUUUUCUACUGUAAUUGAUGGAUGCUUCUGAUAGGCUUGGCCAGAUACCAUUCAGUGCUCUGUAUCUGGUCACUUUAUUGGCCACUACAGUCUAUAGAUAGAUAGAUGCCAUUAGGUCAGGCACCAUUCCUGACGCAGUUAGUUCUCUCCAGAAUGGAAGGGUUGCACGGUAUUGAAUAAAAUCCUGAGUAGGAGGAGCCAGAUGGACAGUGUGCAUGGCGGGGAUUCAGGGUCCCAGGGAUUUCUCUCUAAUGCAAUCAUACUUACACAGGUAGAACUAAUCUUUCCCAUUAAAAACAAAACAGUUCAUUAAGAAACAAAAAAUAUAUAUAAAUAUAAAACAUAGCCUUUGGGAACAGUGGAAAAUGGUGACGUGCGUGUUCAUGUGCUACGCAGGAUAAAAAUUCUACAUCUUUGCUAGACAGAAACAAAGAACUAAAACCUUUGGGAUGGUUUUGUCUGGAGAGCAAAAGAGUUGGCGAUGAGUUGACUUCCUGAAAUUCCUUUGAACUCUAGAAUUAUUUAAAACGUCAAGGGCAUGUAAAUUGGAGCUGAGUGUGUACUUUCUUUCUGAAGUCUCCUGGAUAACCUUUGCGUUCCACUCAGUGCUGAGGGGGACCUCCCAGCUCACGCUUCCCUAUGCAGACACUGACUUUAUCUGGGAUAAGGGAGCGGAACUUGGAGGUGGUGGUGGGGGAGCGCAGGAGGGCAGAGUUGGGCCUGCCCAAGUUUUUUGGUGUUCAUGACAAGUAAGAACAGUCAGAGGCAAAUUAUAGGUUCUUCUGCAGGUUAGAAAAGCCAGGUUUUCAGACUUGCAUGACACCCUGAAGUUGUUGCUGCUUGUCGAGGGAUUCGCCUUCCAUCUUUUCUGCUGAAAGACAGGCAUGAGCAUCCGCCAUGUUGGAACAUGGGCCCUCAGCCCAUCUUGCACCCUGUGGCCACAGGGAGGACAGAGGUGAGGGUGCAGACUCCAGAGCCUGUUCUCAUCACUCCUGAGAUUCCCCGAGUUUCCUCUGAGCUGACCCAUCUUCACAGAUGGGGGAGGCAUGCUGGCCCAGCUGCUUGGGUGCCAUUUUUCUUUUUAAAAAAUGAACAUUUCAGCUGUUCCCUUCAUGUGUGUCCUGCAUUCGUUCUUUGGUUCCAGAAUCAUCGUGCUGUUGGGCCAAAGGCAACAACUCCCCCGACCCCAUACACACACACCCGCUCUUCUUAUCUUCUCAUCCACAUAGAAUCCCAGGGGGCCAACAUGGUCUCCAGCCUCGCUCUUCUCUGGAUCUACCUCUGACUCAUGCAGGAAUCCCCUUUCAAACAUCUGGUGAGGGCUCGUCCAGCCCUGGGGGAGGCAACCUUUUUGGCAGAGUGGGAGAUGUGAGGGAAGGUUGAAUAUUAUUCUCCUACUUGAUGGGGAAGCAAGAGAAGUUUGAAGAGCAAUUCAUGGCCUGCCUGCCAAGAGGCCACGGAUAUCAAUUUCUUACCGAGAUCGAAGCUAAAUGCAUUUUUGCCCUCUUCACCCACAUCUCUCCAUCUCUCAUUUCUGGAUCCAGGCAGUAUAUCUUAUGCUGGUGAAAAGCACUGGCCCAGGAGACGGGGGAACCCGAGUUCUAUCUCAGAGUCCCUCAUCUUAGUUCCUUCCAUGUAAAGGAGGGUGUUGGGCAUGUGGUCCUGGGAUUCCCUGGGAGCCCUGACCUCUACCUCACUGCUAUGUUCAAUGCCCUCGGCUUUGGCUAGCUGCAAGGUCACAUGCCAGUAUGCAGGCCCUUUCUCUGGGCUGGUCUUGACAGUCCUUGCUACAGUUCCUUCCUGGGUCACAUUCCCGUCCCUGCCUGACCCAGCAGGGGUCUGACCAUUCCCUGACAAGUGGCACGUCGUCCCUUGGCCUUGGGGCUGCCACAAGUCAAAACCAGAGCUGUCCCAAGGAAGUCCAUCACCAAAGAAUACUUCAAAGCUGUUUGCACAUGCUGUCAGUCGCACUGAGCACAAGUUUGUCGAGGGAGAAGGCAAACAGACACACAGCCGAUGACAGGACGGGUGGAAGGGAGACUAUUUACCCCCCGGGGGACAGGGAGGCGAGGAAAAAACCUGCCUGCUGUUUUGACCAAUAAAUAAGAACUGGGAGCUCUGCGUGGCUAAAACUGUAGGGGAUUUAUUAGUUUGCUUAGGGAAAGGCAAAUAUGAAGUCGUAGGCUGACCCGUCCUGGGACCUGCCUUUUGGCUUUUGUAUGCCGUCAGGCGCCGAUCACUGGGUACUCGGGGUUAUCAAGUUCUGUUGAAGGUGUGUGUGUGUGUGUGUGUGUAAUUGUGUUCCGUCUCCUUCUCCUCUUCCUCCUUCACCUGCCCCUUCCCCCUGACAUCCCCCUUUUUCUGCUAACUCGGGUUUGGGGCUUGGAGGGGGCAGAAGCCAUGUUCUGCUCAUAAAACUGCUGCUCCCCGGGGCUCCAGCUGGCCUGGAACUACUGGUGCUGGUGAUGUGGCAGCUUGGGAAUGAGCCCACGGGUGGUCCUUGCUGGAACCACCAUCCUCAACAUCGGGUCCCAGGCUGGCAGGCAAAGUCGUCCUCUUUAAGCUGAGAAUGAGCAGAGUUACAAGCAUCAGAAAACAACAGGUCACAGCUGUUUCUGAGUUGUGAUCGCUCCAUCCUGGGUGACAGGGCCUACCCACCAGGACAGAUGGUUUUAGCCUCACUUGCUGAAAGAUGAACUACUCAAGGAGGGGCCGACCCGACCCGGUGACUCACUCUCCAUGGAGAGUCCAUAUCGGACCAGAGGGGCUGCACAGGCUGUCCAGUUUCCAAGCACGAGCUGCAGUGGAGCUGGGUGCAAUCUCUUUACACUUUGCUUCCUCCCCCGCAGUGCAAACCCCUGCAUUCUAAACCGCUUCGGUGCUGGGGUGCUCAGGACUCACAUGGGGUACAGGACAGCAGGGCACGCUGCUCCAUGACAGACCCUCAGGGCCCUCUGCCAAGUCCACCCCUGGCUCAGGACGCUGCCAUUUUAUACCUAUUAGUCAUGUGGCCAGGAGUUGUUAGGAAUGUUCUGGAAUUGCUUCAUUAAGAAAGUUCCUCUCGCAUUCCGGUAAUGAGUUUUUAUUGAACUCUGUGUGUGAGUCAGCUUUCCAUCACCAUAACAAAUGCCUGAGAUAACCAACUUACAAAGAAAGAGAAAAGGUUUAUUUUGGCUCUCGGUUCUGGAGAUUGCAGCCCAUGAUCUGGCAGAGCCAUGGCUUAGGCCUCUGGUGGGGGCGGGAGUAUGAGGCAGAGCAGAACCACCCACCUCAUGGCUGGAAAGUGAAAGAGAACCCGGGACCACAGACCCCUUCCUGGGGCACACCCCCAAUGGCCUGAUGAUCUCCAACUAGGCCCCACCCACCUCUUAACAUUUCCACCACCUCCCACCGGCACUGGGUUGGAAACCAAGCUUUCAACACACAGGAUUUUAGGGAACAUUCCGGAUCCAAAUGUUGGCAUUUUUCUUCCUUGACCACGGAACUUUAGUAUCUCAUGGUGCUUAUUUGGAACUUGUUUUGGGUGUCCCCUUCACCCCCAGCAUGCUCGCUCUUUCUCUUUUAAGAACUGGGUCAUUCCUUACUUAUGGAGUUUACCCCUGAAAUGCCCAAUAAUGUUCAGGUCCCAGGGCAGGCACUCUGUGGUCAUCUCAUGCCGUCCCUCACUUAAUCCUCAGAAGACGGAGACUUCAAGGAACCAUCCGUUGCCUCCACCAAAUCUUCCAUGUGAAUGUCGGAAUUCAGACCCAGGGUUGUCAAGGUCUCAAGUUCAGAGCUGGUAAAUUUGCAGUGUGAUGGCUUUCAAUGACACAUGUACAAGAAAGAUGUUGAAUCGACUUUUCCUGUUGACAGUCGGUUGCUGUGUGCACCUCCAAAUUUGCCUGGUUUUUGUUUGCCCAGGACUAAUCAAUAAAGUGUUAUCUGAACAGCAGUGAAAAUCGGUGCCUUUGAUUGGUUGCUUUCCCUGAAGGAAAUAGAAAGUGUCUGGAUUUUUUUUUCCCCUCUCCCAGUUAACUGCAGGCUAGGUUCAUGUUUAAGGUUGGAAAGAGAAAUAUGAAUUCAAGUUGAGCUCAGGAUUUCUAGAGAGUUUUAUCUCAUCUACCAGGAAGAAAUAUAGAGCACACACACACAUCUGAGGUAGUCUCUGCUCUCAGAAUCUUAUUUAUGAGACCAGAGAAGACCAGCACACGUGAAGCCGUGGAUCACAUUGGCAAAGGAACUAUUGCUAGAUCCUCUGGGUGGAUCAGGCCCCCUGAGAUUCACCCUCGUGUGAACUUUGCAUCAGGUUGCAGGAGGAGAAGUUGGACAUCAGUGGGCGGAUCCAUAGGCACAGGGGCUCACCAGGCUCCAGGGCUCACCAUGUAGGGACCAAAGGCAAAGACACGAGGCUCCGCUCCAGAACAAGCAGCCCAGGGAGGGGGAGGCUGUGCCCCUGCCACCUGGUCACUCCCUGCAGAGAGAAGGCUACAACAGAGGAGCCGGGAGUGGCCAGAGCUCCAUAGCAUCCUGGGGAGAGAAGCACAGCAAGCUCUCCCACUCCUGGCCUUUUAUAAACAUGAACAGUGAGAGCUGGGACAAGGAGGAGGCCAUCUGUGGACCGUGGCCACCAGCAGUUGUUUCAGAAAA